rnacentral:lncRNA from 1 species
AUGCCUCUCAUUUUGUGGAAGUCUAGUUUAUGUCCACAGCAUUUUCUUUUUUCUUUGAAAGAGAACAUUGCUGCCCAGACUCAAAACCAGUUUGUGACUUUCCUGCUGCCAAGUAUCAGGUGUCUAAAUCCUGGGUACAUGCACCCCUCCAGUCAGUUUCUCAUAGCAGCCAGGCAAACUGAGGUGGAGAAAAACUUUGAAUAUAUGAAAGAAGACACUUCUAAGAGUGAUGAUGAACAUGACUUGAAAAUAGCAGGCCUUUCCUCAACACAUGGCAGAGCAAACAUGUUUUAG